UACUUGUACCGACUGGAUGAGCAGCGAACGGGUGAGUAACGCGUGGGGAAUCUGCCUUUGAGCGGGGGACAACAUUUGGAAACGAAUGCUAAUACCGCAUAAAAACUUUAAACACAAGUUUUAAGUUUGAAAGAUGCAAUUGCAUCACUCAAAGAUGAUCCCGCGUUGUAUUAGCUAGUUGGUGAGGUAAAGGCUCACCAAGGCGAUGAUACAUAGCCGACCUGAGAGGGUGAUCGGCCACAUUGGGACUGAGACACGGCCCAAACUCCUACGGGAGGCAGCAGUAGGGAAUCUUCGGCAAUGGACGAAAGUCUGACCGAGCAACGCCGCGUGAGUGAAGAAGGUUUUCGGAUCGUAAAACUCUGUUGGUAGAGAAGAACGUUGGUGAGAGUGGAAAGCUCAUCAAGUGACGGUAACUACCCAGAAAGGGACGGCUAACUACGUGCCAGCAGCCGCGGUAAUACGUAGGUCCCGAGCGUUGUCCGGAUUUAUUGGGCGUAAAGCGAGCGCAGGUGGUUUAUUAAGUCUGGUGUAAAAGGCAGUGGCUCAACCAUUGUAUGCAUUGGAAACUGGUAGACUUGAGUGCAGGAGAGGAGAGUGGAAAUCCAUG
rnacentral:rRNA from 1 species